UCUAAUUUUUGGAUCUCUUUAUUCGCCUACCAAAUAACAUAUACUUCUCUUUAGGCUUUAGAUUUCCAACUAUUCAGGUAAGUAUCACAUUAGCUGGCUCCGCCAUCCCGAAGGUCGCCGAAUCUUUUUGAAUAAAGACGCAUUUCUGUCUGAUAUAAGAAGAGAAACAAAAAAAGCGUAUCGUGCCAAGCUCCUUUACAUAAAAGUGUUUCAAAAUAAAUAAAUUGCAUAUAUUUAGUUUUUUUUUUUUUAAUUCGCAAUAAUUUUAUAUUUGUAGAAUUAAAGGGUUGUCUUGGAUAAAGAGGAUCUGGACCAGACUUGUUCGCUCAGUCUCAGGUCAGGUCACCUUGUCUCUGGCUCCAAGUAUAUCAAACAUGAUUCAAAGGGUGGUUUGGACUUGGGUCUUCUCAUGGGUUGUUCUCCAUGAGCUGGGGACUUGUGGUGAAUUAAAUAGGGGUGUGGGCUUCCUCUAAAGCUGGUCCAAGUGUCAAAAGGCCGAAACUCUUCAUAGCUUGCAAUGAUGUCUGAUUCAUCUGCGAGUAGUUCAAGUACAUCAGCGAGUAGGUCAACAUGUCUGUCAGCGAGUAGUUCAGCAGGUCCAGCGAGUAGUCCAACAAGUACUUCAGCUAUGACUUCUUGUGCCAUCUUUGAAUCAGAUGAAUGGUAAAUGAUUCCUUGAUGACUUGGUGUUGCAUCAUUAAAAACUUUUCUAGGUAAACCUAGUGGGAAAAACCCUAGACAAGGGAUCAAGAGUGCAACAGUCAUAUCCCAACAAUGAGAACUCCAUUUGGGAAAAGAUUCUCCAAGAUACUCUUCGUGGACCGGUUUGGUGUGUGGACCAGUUGGUUCGCCAUGCUCUCGGUUUGGUUUAGUUCUGAUGUCCGCAUCACUCCUCAAUGGGAGAGCGAUAGCAAAUAUGAUCUCCGGCUUAGCAAAGAUGAUCGCAUCGUAGAUCCCAUAUUUUUUACCUUAUUAGCAUCUCGUUCCUAGUAUGACCAGCCAUGUCUAUGGUGUAAAUUUAGAAAUAUUCGCUUAUGAAUCUUGCA